rnacentral:rRNA from 1 species
AAUGGGCGAAAGCCUGACGGAGCAACGCCGCGUGAGGGAUGAAGGCCUCUGGGCUGUAAACCUCUUUUAUCAAGGAAGAAGAACUGACGGUACUUGAUGAAUAAGCCACGGCUAAUUCCGUGCCAGCAGCCGCGGUAAUACGGGAGUGGCAAGCGUUAUCCGGAAUUAUUGGGCGUAAAGCGUCCGCAGGCGGCCCUUCAAGUCUGCUGUUAAAAAGUGGAGCUUAACUCCAUCAUGGCAGUGGAAACUGUUGGGCUUGAGUGUGGUAGGGGCAGAGGGAAUUCCCGGUGUAGCGGUGAAAUGCGUAGAUAUCGGGAAGAACACCAGUGGCGAAGGCGCUCUGCUGGGCCAUCACUGACGCUCAUGGACGAAAGCCAGGGGAGCGAAAGGGAUU